rnacentral:rRNA from 1 species
CCUACGGGAUGCAGCAGUGAGGAAUAUUGGUCAAUGGACGAGAGUCUGAACCAGCCAAGUAGCGUGAGGGAUUACUGCCCUAUGGGUUGUAAACUUCUUUUAUAUGGGAAUAAAAUGUUCCACGUGUGGGAUUUUGUAUGUACCAUAUGAAUAAUGAUCGGCUAACUCCGUGCCAGCAGCCGCGGUAAUACGGAGGAUCCGAGCGUUAUCCGGAUUUAUUGGGUUUAAAGGGAGCGUAGGUGGAUUGUUAAGUCAGUUGUGAAAGUUUGCGGCUCAACCGUAAAAUUGCAGUUGAAACUGGCAGGCUUGAGUACAGUAGAGGUGGGCGGAAUUCGGGGUGUAGCGGUGAAAUGCUUAGAUAUCACGAAGAACUCUGAUUGCGAAGGCAGCUCACUGGACUGCAACUGACACUGAGGCUCGAAAGUGUGGGUAUCAAACAGGAUUAGAUACCCCUGUAGUC